AAAAAUGUAGCGGUGGCCAAGGAAGGAUUGGGUCAAAAUUAACAAUAAACCAUUACUUCCAACCAUAUCCUCCAUUUAGUCUACCUCCGCUUUCUUGGUUCAUCCGUGGGAUCACCAUCAAAACCUCCAAAAAAUUGCUCAACUUGCUUCAGGACAUGGCUUUUUCUUUACGACAAGCAGGGCCACCCUCAGAAUAAGCCAUCAAAGCGAGAGGAAACGAUGUUGUUGAACUACAUAAUUUUUAGAAAAUCAGAAGAUUAUUAGUAAACAUAUAUACAAAAACUGUUUAUCGCGUAUGAUUAUUUUGGUAUCGACUACCGCAGCUGAAAAUUGUUUUUUUUUUAUAAGUUGAAACUACUAAAAGUUAUUUGUGUUUUUAACAUAUCAUAAGAAAGAUUAGAUGGACUGGAUUUGUUAUCAAUUGAUGGUUCAAAUAUUUAAUUGCACUCGAAUGAUCAUGCAAGAAAAAGAAUACAAAAAAACUAUAUUUUACUGUUUUAAAUUUAGAUUUUUUUGUAAACAGUUGAUGAGAUUCGAUAAUUUUAUGAAAAAUUAUUUUUUUUUCUAUUUUUAUUGUUAAUAAUUUUAUAUAAAUAUAUAUAUAACAACAGUUUUUAAAUUGGUUUAGCCGUUUAAGCAAUGUAAAAUGUUAGACGAUACUUACGAAGGGCUACGCAAUAUACCUAGGGAAGACAUAAAGACACAAACAUGGAAAACACUAGCUUUUGUUCAAGGAACAUACGCAAAUACAUGUUUGAAAAACGAUAUAUUCUUAUACAAAUAUAAGAAUACAAACAAUGUAGUGGUAAUACUGGAGGAAACAAUUGAAAGAACAAAUACAUGAUUAAUUUAAAAGGCCCACCAAAGAAUUAUCAACAUUAUUUAGAGCAUGAUUAUCGGGAUUGCUUAACUGGGUUGCUUAAAUUAAUUUUGAUUUAAAAAAAAAAUUGCAUUUUAAAUGAAGCAGCUUUGCUUAAUUAGGAAGAAGUAGAAGAACCAGCGCUUAUGAAACACGCGUCAGACACAGAAAUAUCCUCCUCUCUCUCAUCUCUAUCUCUCUCCCGUGAAAUCAGAUGGCUUUGAUUCCAAAACGUGUGAUUGAUCUCGAACGGGAUAUUUGAUCUGAUACACUCCAUGUUUAGAACAACAAGGAGUCUUUUGGAAUCACUCCAACAUCUUCACUUGUAAUCUCCUCGUGAAAGCUUUGUGUAAGAAGAACGAUGUGGAGAGUGCCUACAAGAUGCUCGACGAAAUUCCCGAGAUGGGUCUGGUGCCAAAUCUGGUGACGUACACGACUAUUCUUCUUUAAGGUUGUAGCUUUGUUGGUUCUUGUUUUCUUUAAGGUUGUAGUUUGUACUUAUCUUCUUGGUUUUAAAAGGAAUGUUAUAUGUUCUUGUUAUGGUUCUGCGCAUAUGCCUGUGUCUUAUGCUUAUUUCUUUUGGGAUCAAUUAUGCUUGUGUCUAUGUCUAUUCUGUAUCUUCUUCUUAUGUUUAUAUAAUAUUCACUCUCCACUUGUAGCAACACAAAACUCAUCUUCUCUCUCGACUUGUAACAACACCAAAGUCAUCUACUCCCGUUUUCUCUCUUUAAUCACUUUGUCAAACUCAUAUUUUAAGAACCCCAAAAUUAAAAUUUUGCAUUGGAGGCAAAAAAUUAAAAAGCUCUUAAAUAAAGUGCUUAACACAUAUUUAUUACUAAAAAUGUGAUUAAGAUAUUCAUUAGGGUUGCUAGGGAUAAUGGUGCUCUUACGGUGAGUGUUUGAAUACCUAUUCGAAGUCGAAUCAAAUAUUUCAAUAUUUUUAAUGUUUUGGUUUAAAUUUUGUUUCCUCAUUUAAAUAUUUUUUAUAUUUAGAUCAGAUUUGAUUCGGUAAAAUUUAGUGUUCGAGUAUUUUUGGUUAUGUCUGAGCUUUGUAUUAAAUAUUAAAAAUAUAUAUACAAUCUUUUCAUUUGAACUCUUUUAUUUGUACCAAAAUAAAAUUCAAAACAUUAUUUGAAAAAUAAGUUUUAAAAAUUUGUUUACAUGUCAUCACCACAUUCAUUUUCACAAAAAAUAACAUGGCUUAGUUAAAAAUAUGAUACAGCAUUUUCUUAUUAUACAUGUAUAAUCUUAAAAAUAUGAAAUCCAAUGACUGCUAUCAUCCGUAUGUAAAGCCUCUUGAGAAAGUAACCCUAAUAAAUUUCGUAUUGUUGAUUCAAGGACUGUACUUAAAAAGGAACAUGCUUUUUGAUGGGUCUCCUCUUUCCUCAGAAAGAUGUACGUCAUGUAAUUCACGAGAAUUGAGCUGCCAUACAUAAAACAUAACGUACACUAUUCUCUCAAGAUGCAGAAUAUACUAUUCCACAAACCAUAUAUUAUACACAAGUUUUGGAUCGUCAUUUACUUUUGCUCUAAUCAGUUUUGGUAGGCUAAACUUUCGAAUAGAAAAUGGGUGUAUUCACUGGAUUUGGUAGCUGGAUCAAUCAGAACAGUCAAGAGCCUCUUAAGGUCAGUUUAUAUCACCAAUCAUAUAUAGGAGCUGAUCGUUGAAGUCAAAUAGAUAUAUAAACACAUUCUUUAUUGUCUGUUAAUGUAGGCAGAGUCCACGAGAUCUGAAAAUGGCGAAUCUAAGUCGGCGUCAGAGAAAGACACUAAUAAUGCUCCUGCUAAAAAGAAGAAGAAGGUGGUGAUAUAUUAUGAUGAAAAAGAGGACAUGAGACAAGAAAGACUUUGGCAUAAAGCAGAGAAGAAGCAUCCAUGGCGUAAUCCACCUCCCAAGAUCAAGGUACGAAAAAAAUAUCACCCAAACACAAUACAAUACCCAAAAUCUUUUUGCCUUGGUAAAAUCAAAAAAACAAGAUCCUAAAUUUUUUUAUAUUUUUUUAUAUCUUUGAAGGUGACAAAUAAGAAGGGUCUUUACCAUAUGAACAUAGAAUUAACCGUGGGAACGACUCCUAAUGUUGUCUACUACGUGUUGACUGAUCCAAAAGGCGGUCCGUUUUUCGAUUAUAAGAAGUGGCGCGACAUAAUGGUUUUCUUUGCUGAUCAUUAUAUGAUUCGAAUGUGGUAUUAAAUAUAGCCAAUGGUUGAUAUAUAUAUAUUUUUUGUUAUCAAGAAAAACACAUCAAGAAAGGUUUUGAAGGAGAAUGGUCCGAAGCGGGUCAUCAUGGUGGAGAAAGCUUUGGCUUAUAACAUCCUUUCGCUGACGACUAUAUCUAUCCCGAUACAUCUAACUAUGGAAGAAAACAGAAAAGAUCUUACGGUAAGAAGCCUUCUCUCACAAGAAUCAACACCUUUGUGUUCGUAUUGAUGAAACCUAGCUAACUCAGCUUAUUUACAGACAAAUUAUAAGAAAGGGAAAGUAAUAUUGAUGAAAGAGUUCCACGGCAACUAUAAAGUCGAGCCUAUAUAUGUAGAUCAAGAACGGUUGUGCAAAAAGAGACUACCAAAGAGUCCAGAAGAAUAUAAAAAAUGUAGCGGUGGCCAAGGAAGGAUUGGGUCAAAAUUGACAAUAAACCACUACUUCCAGCCAUAUCCUCCCUUUAAUAUACCGCCGCUUUCUUGGUUCAUCCGUGGGAACACCAUCAAAACCUCCAAAAAAUUGCUCAACGGGAUUCAGGAGCUGACUUCGUCUUUUCGACGGGCAGGGCCACCCUCAGAAGAAGACAUGGAAGCGAGUGAGAUAGAGACUGUUGAAGUACAUAAUUUUUUGAAAA
rnacentral:lncRNA from 1 species